CCUGUGCACAGUCCAGAAACAGCUGCAGGGGCUCAGUGGAUGCGGUGCGGUCUCCCUUCUCAUACAGAUUCCCUGUGACCAUGCGUGUGCUUAGCGGAAGAGAGGAGCCUCUCCACAAUCUGCAAAGAUAAGGGGAGUGGCAGAGUUGGGGCAUGAGAUGGUGAAUCAUGUCUGUGCCGUGGAGCCCGUCGCAGGAGAAAGUGACUGACAGCCUGACUUGCAGCUGCGAGAAAGUGUCCUGGUAUCAUCAGAAUGGAGAAACCAACCCAUUAGAACUUAAAACAUACUUGCUGAAGAAGAUAUAAACUCCUUUGUCACUCCAAGAUCUUAGCGCAAACGAGGGGGACAUCACUGAACAUGGAAAUUGCUUCGUUAGAACAAGAUGGCCCUCAUCCCCUUUCCAGACUCUCUUAAUCGAUCCUCUUGUGAAUUCUUUGUAGAGUGGGUGUUUGUGGGAAUAAAUAAAAUGCAAUUUGUUAUCAA